CAUUCUCCUUUGUCGUACCACCAUUUGUUUUUCAAUUUGUCCAAGAGGCCUUGUUCAUUCAGUUUUAAAACUGCGAGGUUAACAGCAUUUCUUGAAACGAUAAAACAUAUUUUGUAAGAAACUGCACAGCUGUUAAGAUGUUAGAAGGAAUGAGGACUUAAGCUCUUUAUAAGCUUCUCCCAGACGCUAAAUAAACCUCUCAUUUUACCAUCCUGCAGCCCCUUCCGCUGGAGUCCAAACCAAAGGCAAUUGUAACUAAUUUCAAAUGCAUUAAACAUGCAGUAUUUGGUGCUGUUCACUUUCACAGUUCGUUUAUUGUUAAAUAACUGAUCUCAUCAUCAAUCAAUUACAUGGAUUUUUUUUUUGGCAAAACAGUAAUAAACUGGAAUUUACUAGUAAUUGAGAAAGAAUUGUGUCUUGAAUUCCUUUGCCUCUAAGAAUGCCAAUGAUCCAAAAGAGAAUGAAAUUAAAAUUCAUUCUCACAAGGAAAAACAAAAUGGCAUAUACAAACCAUCACACCAGCCACUAAUUUUUCGUACUGAUUCCCUGAAAACAAAGAAUAAUUAUUACUCCCUUUAUUUUUUAUGUGGGUUUAGUUUGCUCGAUUUAGUUGUUCUCAGAAUCUAGGAUUUCCUGAUCAUUUGCUUCGUGGACUAGAAGCUAUAUGGUAGUCAAGAGACAGCAGCAGCUCUAGGGAAAAAUUCUUAUAUCUAAAUUUUGUGUUGAUUCUUAAAGGCAUUGAAUGCUAUUUAGAAAUUAGGAUUACAUAUCCAGUUUGACUGUUUAAGUAAUUAAACCCCAGGAUGUCACGCUGCAUGUGAUACUGACUUUGCAAACAAACCCACUAGAUUAGAUUUCCUCCAGGUUUUUCUCUAAAGGGAACUAGGGGAGCUUAUUUUGACUAUUCUUUAAGAGGAUUAAAAAAUAGUUUCAUGGGCCGGGUGCCAUGGCUCACGCCUGUAAUCCCAGCACUUUGGGAGGCCGAGGUGGGUGGAUCACCUGAGGUUAGGAGUUCAAGACCAGCCUGGCCAACAUGGCGAAACCCUGUCUCUACAAAAAAUGCAAAAAUUAGCUGGGUGUGGUUGUGGGCACCUGUAAUCCCAGCUACCCAGGAGGCUGAGGCAGGAGAAUCGCUUGAACCUGUGAGGCAGAGGUUGCACUGAGCCGAGAUUGUGCCAUUGCACUCCAGCCUGGGUGACAAGAGCAAAACUUCGUCUCAAAAAAAAAAAAAAAAAAAAAAAAAACCAAAAAAAACAUGUCAUGGGCUUUUGCCUCCCAUACAUUUAGCUUCUUUCCUGCUUUCAAGUUAGCGUUUUUAAAUGGCCCAAUAGGUAUUUCAAGAGAUUUUUCCAUCAUUUAAUACAAUUUCUGUUAAAUUUAAGGAGUGGCUCAUAUGCUGAGGGAAUUUGGGUAACGUUUGUGAUAUGCUAUUUUAUAAGCACUGAGUUUGGUGAUUACUUAAUGGCAAAUGAAUUAUAGGUAAAAUAAAGCAACCAUAUUAUCAAAUAGCCGUUGAAUAAUUGAUUUGCAAGCCAAAUAACAUUUAGCCGACUAAUAAAAAGUGUUGCAUAUUUUACCACUAAUUAGCUUACUAAAGUGUUUAUUGUCUUAAAAUUUGUUCAUAAUAUUUCAGGUCAACAACGUGCUUUUCCAUUUUGUGAUGAUCUGAUUCACCUGGAGAGUAAACAGUUCUCAUAAGUAAACCACACAUUUAAGAGUUUUUAGUGUUAACUCUUCUUAAGAAUUAGACUGCCCAUUUACUGAAUGCUAAUUAAAUAAUUAGCUAUUCCUACAUUUCCAAGUAAGUGCCACAUUAGUGGUGUAAAAUAAUGCAUGUACUUCCUAAUGUGACAAUAUCAAAUUGUUUAAUAACCAAAGGACCAGAUUGAAAUGUAGGAAUGAAGAUAGAGACAUCUAUUUUUCAAAAAAUUCUGCUGGGAAAAAAGGAAUUAUUUUAAUUUAUUUUGUGUCUACGAGGAACUAAAUUUGUCUUUCAAUAAAUUAAGGAUAACUACUAAAAUUCUCUAUUUUGGAGAAAAUUAUUUUUAUAAUCCAUUUAAUUUUAGCCUUAAACAUUCAUAUUAAGAUUUUUUAAAAUGAAGUAAUAUUCCAAUUAUUUUCUGUGUUGGUUUAGACCAUUCCUCUGAUAAAAAUAAAAUUAUUUCAUGAGAGGGUUAUUUAACAGGGUUAUUAGCCAUAUCCAAAGACAGUUUCACAGCACAAUAGAAAACUAAAAAGCAAAAUAAAGGAAUGGAUAAGGAAAAAAAGCUUUACGUUGAGAAAAUUGUUUGGAAUCAAGCUUUCUACAAAAUUAUUCUAAAACAUUGUCUUUCUAAUACCAUCUAAUAGGCCAUGUAAAAACAGUUUAGUUUCACACUGCUAUCCAUAUAUGUGUGUAAUUUUAUACACUGGACCAAUAGAUAAGUUACUACCCAGUUCACAAUUAAUCUACAUGUUUUCCUUCCAGAAACAUGUGGUCCCUCAAUAGAGUCCACUUAAUACCAUCAUAUAUGAAAUUUACCUUUCUUUAAUGAUGCAUAGUGGAAGGCAUUUUGUAAUCAAUAUCUGAAGAUAGUAUUUCAAGAUUUCUGUGCAUGUUAAAAGUGUCCGUGGUUUUCUACAAUUGUCUAACUAAAGAUGUAAUUCCCUCAUAUAAUAAGUUUAGGUCUAAAGGCCUCCUUAGAAUGCUAUUUAAACUUUAACAUAAACCACAUAUAUAAUGACCAUUUGGACAUCUGUUCUAUUUUAUAGAAUGAAUCACUUCUACAUGUUAUUAAUAAUAAAAAUCAUCAAUGACAUAUAUAUGUAUAUAAUUACUUCACUCAUUUUACUGGACUAGGUUGAAAAGUACUUUUUGUCAAGCUAAGAAGAAAGUGAAAUCCUGAAGAAGUAAUAAUAAACAAGGCUAAGGAAGCCAUAAGAAGUUAGAUAAAUGAGGGAUGUAGAAAGCAGAUACUCACUGCAGCACAUUUUAUUAUUGUUUUGAAAUCCCCUUCAAAUAUUUCAGACAUAGACUUCAAAAUCGAUGUCAGAAACUCAUAUUGACUCUAAGGGGUAUUCUUGCCCUGAUUAAGUAUAUCAGUGUCACUGUAAUAGUGACCUGCCAAGCAGAUAAGUGUAGAAGAAAAAUAUUUUUAGCUAUUUCUUACAUUAAUUAUUCCCUUUAUUGCGUUAAAUGUAGCAUUUGCAAAGUCAGUUGAAAUGAAUUGCUUUCCAUUUAAAAAUAGAAGAGGAGGAAAAAGCAACAAGGGACCACAUUUUUUCUAGAUGUUUAAACCAUAUUGGAGAACCAGAUGUGUUGACAAUGACGUUGCAUAGACUGAAAUAGGUUCAAGGUAAUGUGUUUGCCUUUGCCUUGUAUGCCUUAGCAAAAAUCUAGGUGAGAAAAUCCCUUCCCCAAAUAGCUUUUCUCAUAGUAACGAGAUGACAGGGAAUUUGAUUUCGGGCCUGGAAUGAAAAUGCUCACUCUAUCAACUUCCAGGACCUCUGAAAAACUUCCAAAAGUUUUUAUUCCUGGAAUUUCCCUCAAAUGAGUUAGAUUAUGAAAAUCCAUACUUUACUGACCUAGCAUUUAAGACUUACUUUUGUUAAUGAGAAUUUUGUUGAAAUGUCAUAUAAAACCAAAGCUUUAGUAUGGGAACUAACAUAUGUAAAUUUUUUCCAUUUAUUAUUAAUAAUUUUGGGCACAUUAAUCUAGUGCAAAGUAAGAUUUCCUUGUGAAAAGCAUGCUUAAUCCAGGCUAAGACAUUUAUUGCUUAUUCUUUACCCCUCCACAAAUAACUUAUCAUUAAAUUAUAUAGAUCUGGAUAUGCUUUUAUGCUUACUUUUAUGCCUUAUGCAUAUUUACUUCUAGAUGAUAUUUCUUAUAGUAUGAUUUCUCUGUUGGUGAGGUAUUAAAGUGUAUAUCUGAUAAAAUGUCAACCUAAGUAAACAGGGCAAAUUUAAAAAGUUUUAGUAAAGUUUAGUUUUAUUUUUCUGAUUUCCUGGAUUUGUGAAUAUUGUUGUAAAGGACUGAUGAUACAACUUUUUAGAUUUAGUCAUUGUCUGCCCACAAGAUAUUCAGGACACACGCAGUUUGUAGAACAAAUAAUUUGCAGUAUUAUCUUUGGUCUGGUUUAAACACAUUCAAUUUCAUCUCACUUAAUAGGAUGAACACUUUAUUGUUGGCUAUGAUGGCAAUAGUAUAUGGAAUUAAUGCAGUUUAUCUGUCUUAACUACUGUGUAAUUGUGUUAGUGGAUUAUUAUCCUUAUAAGAAAGUAUCCAUUAGUUAUACUAAUUGAGUAUCCCUAAUCCAAAAAUCUGAAAUCCUAAAUGCUCCAACGUGCAUUUCCUUUGGGCAUCAUGUUGGCACUUAAAACAAUUUUUUUUGGAAAUGUUUUAGAUUGCAGGUUUUCAGAUUACGGAUGCUGAACUGGUGGUAAGUGUAACGCAAAUAUUCAAAAAAUCCAAAUAAAUCUGAAAUCCAAAACACUUCUGGUCCCAAGAAGGCCUGUGACCUCUUCACUGGAAUGCUCUCUUCAUACUAUAUUAUAUAAAAUUUAAAUAUCAAGUGUUAAAAUUUCAGAAUAUUUACCUGAAUGAGGCUGAGAGGUUUUUUUCAUAGUCCUCAAUAAAUCUUAACAUAGUUUAAAAACACUUAAAAAUUGUGUGACAAAAAGAAAUUGUGUAAAAAUAAGAACAUUCCUUUAAAGUCAGCAAAAAACAUGGAUAGAUAACUUAUGCACCAAGAAAUAUAAAUCAUAUAAAAUAAUUCAGCCUUAUUUGAAGUUAAACUAAAAUCAUAUAAAAAUAAUUCUGCCUUAUUUGGAGUAAAACUAAUGUGCAUUAAAGCAAUGCAAAUUCAUUUCUCACCAUUCAUACUAGGAAAGAUAAAAGUAAAGAUAUGCUUUGUAUAGUCGAGGAUUUAAUAAGAGGAGCAGGCAUUCUCAUUCACUGAUGACAGAAUUGAAAACUGGAGAUAGGAUGGGCGGGGCCAAGAUGGCUGACUAGAAGCUGUGGUGUUCAGAGGCUUCCAUCGGAAAAAAACAUAAUAAGCCUGUGAAUCCCUCACAGGCAACCAAGGUAUCCAGGCUUUCUCUCAUCAAAAUUGUCUCGAAGGCUGGCGUGACUCACUGAGAGAAGGAAGAGCAGUGUCGUGUGGUGGCCCACACCGGGAAGGGGAACCUCCUCUCCACAGCCAAGCGAGGCGGGUCUGGCUGUGUCACCCAGGCUGGAGUGCAGUGGCAUGAUCACAACUCACUGAAACCUCUACCUCCCAGGCUCAAGCAAUCCUCCCACCUCAGCCUCCUGGAGCACCGGAGAUUGUAAGAAGAUCUCAUUUCAAGCCUUAGCUGUAGGACUAUGGGCAAGUCACGGGCUAGAAGUCUGAAGUCUGCUGCCUCUGAAGGACCAUGCUCCCUCUGAAGCUUGGAGGGAACGCUUGCCCUGCCUCUUCCUAGUUUCCGGUGGUUUGCUGGCAAUCUUUGUCAUUUUUUGGCUUGGAGCAGUAUAACUUCAACCUUUGCCUUUGUGGUGACACGGUGUUCUUCCUGUGUAUCUCCAUCUUCACAUAACCAUCUUCUUAUAAGGAUACUAGUCACACUGGGUUAGAGGCCCACCCUGCUCCAGGAUGGCUUCAUCUUAACUAAUUACAUCUUCAGUGACUACAUCCAAAUAAGUUCAUGUUCUGAGGUAAUGAGGGUGAGAAUUUCAACAUAUCAUUUUUUAGAGGGACACAGUUCAAUGCAUAUCAGAGAUAAUAGUAAUACCUAUUUAUUUCAUUGUGUUGCUGAGAGAUUAAAUAUAAUAAUGUAUGAUAAUGUAUGCAUGUUAUAAAGUAAAACUUUUCAUGCAAUUUUAUCUACCCUUACCCCCUACCCAGGAGCAUUUCAUGUGCCUAUCACCCCUCAGAGAGUAGAGAAACUCCCACAAAUGUUAUAUUUGAACUAUGAAUAUGAAAUAUAAGUAUUCUUUAACUGAAUUUUUGGUACACUGUCAAUGAUACCUAAGAUUGUAUUUUUCAGUAAGAAAGUAUAAUUUUCUGAUUGCUUGUAAAGAUGCAAUUAAUGAGAGUUAAAAUUAAUUGAGUGCAUGUUAUGUGCUGAAUACUGUUAUGAGUGAUUUAUGAGAAUUAAAUUGUCACCAAAAUAGGCUCAUGAUCAUUUUUAUUUUACAGAUGAGGAAAUGGAGGUACAGAGAUAUUAACUGCCUUACACAAGGUCAUAUAAAUAGUAAGAGUUAGAGCCAGGAUCCAAAAUCAGAUAGUAUGGUGUUAGACCACACGUUCUGAAAUUCUUCCCUGUAUGUCUUUCAAUCAGAGCAUGCACAUAAAUAAGUAAAGAGCCAUUUCCACUUUUCCACCCUUAGUUGCCCUAGUUCUUGAAAUCAUAAAUGUUUCACCAUGCCUCAAAGGACAAAUUAUAUACUAAAAUAAACUGAAAGUGUCCAAACCCAAAUGGCUGCUUUUUCGGUCCUUAAUCCAUGUACCUUAGAAAGAUGAAGAGAAAAAUUGUUUUCCAUUGUCCUGAUUUCCUUGUAUAAAAUGUGUGGUCCUGAAAUUUAACCUAAUUAAUGUAGCUUGACUUUGUUACACACACGUAAAAAUUAAAUUAAAAACAAGGGAUUAGUUAAGUUUCAAAACAUAUGACUUCUAAAAUCCCAUAUCAAACUGCUAGCAAUUUUCAUAGGCCUAUAUUAAAUGGAUGUCAGCAUCAUGGAGUAAAGGUUACUUAUGUCUGGCUAUUAGCUCAAGCCCUUCUGUGCCUGCCUUUUCUGUCCUAUUCCUUGCCCUUUGGCCGUUUGUUUCCCAUUAUGCCCUCUCCAGUGCACAGGAAGGGAAGAUGUCAGUAUGUGAAAGUUGUAUUUGUCACGUAAUUGCUCUAGGCAGGCAUUUCAUCCUCUAAGGUGACAAAAGCUUUAUUUAGAGGAUGUUUGUGAACGUUCUGGGAAUGCUAUCCAUCUGAAUUAUCUCUGUUACUACUAUCAUAUGUAAUAAAAUAUUAAUUGAAUAGUUGGAGAAAAAUAACAUAGCAAGCAAGCAAGAUGAAGAUUCAUUCUUUACCUGUGAGUAUUAGUGGUUAUAAUGGAUGAAAUUGUGACCAGCCAGACAUGCAGGUUAUUUUGCUGUGCAGUAGGUUACCUAGGCCACCCUCUGAAUGUAAAAACAAAUGUAAUAGUGAAGUAGCAUUCAUCUCUUCCCUGAGUAACAGACCUGCACUUCCAACACUCUGUGGGACAUUUGCUUAUGAGGGUGGCACAGGCAAGUUCUAGCUCAUGAGUCUUCAAACCAAAGAUCGCCUUUUUCUAACCAACACUUGGGACUCAAUUUAUGCAUUCUGGGGAUCUCCUGUGCCUGUCUUCUCUUCUAUACCUGUAAUUUGCUAUCUAAUCCUUAAAAAAUCUUUACCUGUCUAUUUUAUUUUGGUCACUUUUUAUGACCCAUAGUGUAUUUUUAGCAAUGUUGAUUCUCCUUUGUCUUUCUAAUUCCACAUUUAUUUUUCUUCUUACACUACUUUCCUGAGCUCUAUUCUAGAGCAUUUGUAUCUCUGCUCUGUGUUCUUGCUUUGUGUAGGUGCUUGCUUUAGUAAAUUAAAAUGAUUGCCAUAUUUUCCACUGGAUUUAAUUUUUGGUGCAUGUCCUUUGGCUGUUUUUCACUGUGCUUACAGAUUUCUAUGUUGUAAUAAUAUGGUUCUGCACAUACACUGAUCUUCACUACUAGAAAUAUCUUCCUUUUGUUAAUAUGUAAGAUUAAUUAGAAGGCAUAGGUAGGCAAGAAAUACUCUAUAAAUAUAACGUACGAUAUUCUGUAAUGUAUUCAAAAUAUAAAUCUUACAAGAAUCUACUGAAUUUACAGAAAAAUUGGUAAUUAUUUUGAAAUGGAAUUUAUCCUAUCAUUGAUAACUAUCACUAUGAUAUUUAAUGAAAAUUUAAAAUGUCGUCUUUACAUGACAAUGUUUGGAAAUGUGUGAUACACCUGACACAUCUUGCUCUAGUUGUAAAGGAAUGAAUAGAAAAAAAAAUUUAAAAACUAUUACUUUACUCUGGCCACAACACUGAGCUAGUUUUCAGAUUUAUUACUAUAAAGCACCCAAAUGUUGUAUCAAUGCUAUAUGAAUGCAAAUGUGUAAACACCACGAUAAGUUUUUUCACUGCUCUAGUCAUGAGCCAUGGUCCAUACUAGAUACUCAAAAAUUCUUAAUUCCCCUUUCAGGUUAUCCUGUAACUAGAAUGUUGCUUUUGUGAUAAUUCACUACUAUUUCAUUGAGUAAGUUUGAGAAAAAUGAUGAUUUACCAAAAUUUCAUUUAAUCUCCAUGGCACACUAACAAGAUAGAUACUAUUAAUAUUUCCCCAUUAAAGAUGAGGAAAUUGCAGCUUUGAGAGGAUAAGCAACUUACCUAAUACAACAAAGCUAGUAAGUGAAGAGGCUGGGAUUCAAACCCCAGCAGUUGGAUUUCAGAACCUGAGUUAGUUUGUUAGUUUUUAAAGAGACAGGGUUUCACACUGUUACCCAGGCUGGAAUUCAGUAGCACAAUCAUAGCUCACUGCAGGCUUGAAAUCCUGGGCUCAAACAGUCCUCCCUUCUCAGCCUUCCUUCUGAGUAUCUAGGACUAUGAGCAUGCACCACCAUCCAGGCUAAUUUUUUAUUUUUUGUAGACAUGGGGUCUCACUAAGUUGCCCAGGCUCGUCUCAAUUUCCUGGCCUCAAGUGAUUCUCCUGCCUUGGCCUCCCAAUGUGCUGGGAUUAUAAGUGUGGCCACUGCACCCAGCCAGAGCCUGAGCUUUUAACCACUAUACUUUGCUACUGAUGGAAAUAAUCUAUUAUAAUAUGUAAGACACUACGAGACAUCAUGUAUUAGGCCAUUCUUGCAUUGCUGUAAAGAAAUAUCUGGGACUCGGUAAUUUAUAAGAAAAGAGGUUUAUUUGGUUCAUGGUUCUGCAGGCUGUACAGAAAGCAUCUGCUUCUGGGGAGGCCUCUAGAAGCUUACAAUCAUGGCAGAAGGUGAAACAGGAGUUUGCACGUUACAUAGUGAAAGCAGGAGCGAGAGACCGAGGGGUGAGGUGGUACACACUUUUAAACAAACAGAUCUCAUGAGAACUCACUAUCAUGAGAACAGUAUCAAGGAAGAUGGUGGUAAACCAUUCAUGAGAAAUCUACCCCCAUGAUCCAAUUAUCUCCCACUAGGCCCUACCUCCAGCAGUGGGGAUUACAUUUCACUAUAAGAUUUGGGCGAGGACACAUAUCCAAACUACAUCACAACACACCUGUAUUAAUACUAUUUUUAAAUACAAACAACUUUACAGGAUAGGUAAUAUUUUCCUGAUGAGAAGGCCAAUGCACAGAGAAGUGAAGUGCCUGGCCCAAGGUCGAUAGACCUAGGAUGUGUGGGCAGAGAUCUGGGAAUAGGAAAUCCAAAGCCCAUAUGUUCUUCUUCUUCUUCUUCUUCUUCUUCUUUUUUUUUUUUUUUUGAGAUAGAGUCUCACUCUGUCACCCAGGCUGGAGUGCAGUGGCGCAAUCUCGGCUCACUGCAAGCUCUGCCUCCCGGAUUCACGCCAUUCUCCUGCCUCAGCCUCUCCUAGUAGCUGGGACUACAGGCGCCCGCCACCACACCCGGCUAAUUUUUUUUUUUUUUUUUUUUUUUGUAUUUUUAGUAGAGACGGGGUUUCACCGUGGUCUCGAUCUCCUGACCUCGUGAUCCGCCCGCCUCGGCCUCCCAAAGUGCUGAGAUUACAAGCGUGAGCCACCGCGCCCGGCCCACAUGUUCUUAUUAUACUGUGCUGCCUCUUGUUACAUCAUGCUAUCUCACGCACAUGCAGAGUGUGAGUUGGGGUCAAAAGCAUGGUAAGCAUUAAAGGAGGGGUGCUAGGCAGUAAGGAAGAGUUGUGCUUAAUUAAAUUCAUUCCUGGAAAUGUGUAGCUUUAUUGCCUGAAUAAAUGGAUAAAUAUCUUGACACACUAUUAAACUAAAUCAUAUGAAAUGUCUGUGAGAUUUCAUAAGAAGGUAAGGCCUUAAAAUUAUACAUUUCUUGAGGCUAUCUUGAUUUCCUAAAGUAUUUAUUGAGAACUUAAAUAUAGCAGACUUUAUUUCCAAACUGUUAAUGCUUUAGAAGUGAGAAAGAAGAAAUCCUCUUAGGACUCAUCCACAUAUUUUUUUUUUUUUUUUUGGUCGUUUUUCAUUCAUAUAAACCCCUUAAACAUACUUGGCAGUGUAUUUAAGUUUCACACUCAGCUUUCAGCAGUAACAGCUGGAGCGGCAUCAACAGCAGAUGGACUAGGCAGCAGAAAAGACUCAGAAAGCUCUCAGAACUGAAGGUGACCCAACACAUGAGGGCAUUCGGGUGUCAGUUGAGAGGAUAGAUGAAAAGUAGGAAGAAUAGCAGGGCUCUGGGAAGGGAAACAUUCCCAUCUACCUUUCCAUUAGAUAAUAAAGUCUUAACUAUCAACACUUCUUUUGCACCUAACGCCAUUUCUCAAUCCCUUUUCCUAAACCAAGUAAAGGAUUUGUUUUGGGAACAGCAAAUUUGCGCCCCAAAUGGAUGAAUGUACUUCCAGAACUGAUCUUAAAUUGCAUGGGUCUAUUAGACAAGAAUCUUUGAUUCAUCAUACCAGUUUAAGCAAAAAGAGAAUUUAUUGAUUCGUGUAACUGGAGAUGUCAGGUAGGAAGGCUGGUUUUAGGUAUUGUUUGGUUCAGAGCCUUAAAUACUGUUGUCAGGACUCUGUCGCUCUAUCUCUCAAUAAGCAAAAAGGGCUAGUGGUAGCCCUAGACUCAACUUAUCUGCAUUUCCACUCUGGGAAAGCAACAGUCUUUUCUUAUUGCUGUGGCAGAUAAGUCCAUGGAUAGACCCUGAGUGGCCAAGCUUGGGUCACAUGCCCUACUCUGAACCAAUCACUAUGGCUGGGAAGGGAAUAUUGUAGUUUGUCCAACUCUGGGCCAUAUAUUCACCUCUGUGGUUAUAGGAAAACAAGAUCUACCCCAUUUUUGGUAAGGAUUCUCCAUGAACUAAUUGGGAGAGAUUCCCUAUAGUGAAAGGAAUAAGGGAAAGGGCUACAUAGGAAUAUAAGACAAUAGAUGCUCAUACUAAUUGCUAUGCAUGUAUUUCUGCAUAUAUUUCAUGUUCUUAAGAGUCUGAGGCUAAAAAUGUAGCCAGUUUUUUUUCCCUUUGUGUAUACACUUAAAAUGGCAAUAAUGGGUAAUAUUAGUUAUUUGCCUACUAUCUGUCACUCUACUAUGCAUUUUAUAUACGUUUUCUCAUUUAAAUCCUACAAUUGCUUUACUAUUAUUACCAUUUUACAAAUCAAAGGACUGAAAUUCAUAGAGAUUAACUUGCUCAAGCCUACACACAAAGCAACAUUUGCUGCAGAAUAACUUAUCCUACUUAGUAGUAGUUGCCAUAUCAUUUUAAUUUCUGCACAGGCUCAUCAUACACAGGACACUUUCAUUAAUACUUUGAGUGUGAAUCAAUAGUAAUAUCAACAAUAAUGUGUAGCAGAGGUACCAUUACAUAAAUAAUAGUAUAUUAAUUACUAGCAUUUAUUUGACACUACGUACCAGACAUUAAUGUCCAUUUUCCCCAAUAACAGCCACAGUGAUUUUUCAAAAGUAUAAAUCAGAUCAUGCUAGCCCUUUAAAAAUCUUCACGGACUUACUUUGCACUUAAAAUGAAACCCGAACUUUUCACCAUGUGCUAAAGGCCUUGAUUCUCUCACUGACCUCAACUCACACCCCUCCUUCCUUGCUCAUUUUGCAACACAUCAAGUUCUUUUUUGGUUCAGCACAUUUGCACUUGCUGUUUCAUCCCCUGGAAGGUUUUUGCCUUUUUUCGUUGUUGCUAUUGUUGUUCUUUGCAGGACUGAUUCUCUCUCAUAUUCUGAUCUCAGCAGAAAUAUCACCUGAAAGACAGGCUUUCCAGGACCACCUAUUAAAGCAACCGCCCACUCUUUCUCUCUCAUGAGACAGUUUGUCUCUCUCAUGUCCUCUUAUUUAUUUUUUUCAUGCUGUUAGGAUCUGUCAUUGUCUAUCUUGUUUUGUUCAUGUGUCCUCAGCACUUUGAGCAUAAAGCCAAGCACAUAUUAGGCACUCAGCACUUUCUGAGGAGAGAAGAACACUAUUGGAAUCCUAUUUUAUACCAAUAAGAAAAUGAGAGGUUAGAUGGGUUUUGGUAAAAUGUCCAAAUGUUGCAUACCUGGUAAGUGGCAGUGCCCUUAUUCAAAGCCUUAUUUCUUGACUCCAGAACCUAUCCACUUAUCACCCUUAUUGGUUAGGGGCUUUCCUAGAGCCUAGUUAGAACUGGAACUAAGCAACACAAUAGUGUCCCAACACCAUGUUUCUCCAGGGGAAAAUACUGAUUGCUUAUCCACUUGGAGUCAUUCAUAAAGUACAAGCAGGGUUGUCUCUGUAUCAAUUUCCUCCUUGAAAUUUUCUUCACUUUACAUGAAUUUUAUUACCACUGUUCAAUUCCUGAAAAUAUUUCAAACUCUACGUAGCAUUGCUAAAUAUGAAACAAAUUAAUGGAUGAAAUCUUCUUUAUUAAGAAUCUUCAGUUAUUCCAUUGUCUGAAUAGGAAUAGAUGAGAGGUAGUUUUAUGAUUCCUCUUCCUUUGCCCAUUUCCCUCUACCUUUAUAAAAAAUGGCAUGUCUCACUCCUCAGGAUAACUGUGGUAUUUAUUUCCCAGCCUAGAUGAGGAGACCAGCUGGUCAUUCCUAAUUUUUUUCUUUUUUCUUUUUUUUUUUGAGACGGAGUCUCGCUCUGUUGCUCAGGCUGGAGUGCAGUGGUGCGAUCUCAGCUCACUGCAAGCUCUGCCUCCCAGGUUCACGCCAUUCUCCUGCCUCAGCCUCCUGAGGACUACAGGCACCCACCAUCAUGCCCAGCUAAUUUUUUGUAUCUUUAGUAGAGACGGAGUUUCACCGUGUUAGCCAGGAUGGUCUCGAUAUCUCCUGACCUCAUGAUCCGCCCGCCUUGGCCUGCCAAAGUGCUGGGAUUAACAGGCGUGAGCCACCGUGCCAGGCCAAUUUCUUUCUUUUAAGUAAGAAUCAAAGCCCUUUUUCAUAAUCUUCCCUUCCAAAAUCUAUAAAAAUAUCUCUGUUUAUGAGCAGAAUGAUUUAGCGAGAAGGGUAUGAAUCAGAAGCCCAGAGUUCUAAUUUGGGUUAACAGUAUUAACUAUUUGUGAUACAACCCUAUGGGGAAGUGGAGGGGAAAGAGGGACAUUGUGUUCCCAUCUUGCUAGUCACUUGAUAUUCAUAUUCUUUUUUAAUGCACUCCAAGACCCAAUUGAGUCACUAGUAUUACUAUUUCAAAGAUAAAUUAGGUUCAUAAAAGUUAUGUCAAUUUCCUAAAAAGACAAAGAUGGUAGUAGGUAACAGAGAAGGGACUCAAAUCAAGGUAUGGCUGAGCCCCAAGCCCUUACAUGGACCACUAUGAUAUCACACUAGAAGAUGGUCCCAGGUAGUGGAAUAAUAUUUUUCAUUGCCAACUAUUCACAACAAAUCCACCAAACCUGUUUUACCCUUAAAUUCUUAUCAAAUUAAGCUAAAGGAACCCUUAUAUGUUACAUGGUGAAGGGUGGAGAAACACAGGUAGAAACUGAGAAGGGAUUCCACCAGCUAGUGGGCAAUCAUGCAGAGAAAACAAAGGAAUGCUGGCUCCCUGAAGGAACUCAAAGGUCUUUGUGAAAAAAAUGAAUAUGUUCUAACUAAACAGAGCUCAUCCUUGGCAAGAUGCGAGGUAUUGAAAAUUUGCUUUGUCUGUUUUCUUUUCUCCUGCUCGCACUCUCCCAGCCUUCCAGGCACCCGCCCUGAGUGCAGUAAUGGAGCAUCUUACUCUAAAAUCACGGUCCGCAGAUUCCUUUCCUAAAAAGCAUGGGGGAGAGGGGAGGAGGUGAAACUCAGGGGUAGGAGCAGAACAAAUGGGUACCACAAGGGUGCUGUCUCUGUGAAUUCGAGCCCAGAGAAAGCACUUAACAGUUGGAAAGUGAGUACAAACCCUGAAUGUCAUUUACCUGCUUUGUCAUGGCCUAGUUUUUUAAUGUGGUCUGAGUUGAAGGUUGCCAGGUAUAGCAGGUAAAAAUGCAGGAUGCUCAGGUGAAUUUGAAUUUCAGAUACACAUCAAAUAUUUUUUAAUAUGUCCCAUGCAACAUUUGUAACACACUUUUCCAAAAAAUAUGCUGCAUUGUUUAUCUGAAAUUUAAAUUUAACUGGGUGUCUUGUAUUUUGUCAGGAAGCCCAACCCCAGUGUCAUGUUUUUUCAAAACAAUAAAACAUAUAGACAAUGCCACUCUCUUGUUCAUGGGUGAGCAUUAAGAAAAUCCUUCCCAGACUGAGCAAUUCCAGUCACCCCUUUGUUCACUGACAGGAUGGGGCUUCGAAGCUGCUACCACCAGAGGCUGCCUCUGGGGAUGUGACAUUUGGGACUUGGCAUGCCAAAAGAAUGUGGGAGAUGGGGUGAGAGAAAAAGGAACUAAAGAGAUGGAUUAGAGGUCUCUCUGUCUGCCUCUGUCUUCCAGAUAAGUUGCAAUAAGAAUUUUCAUUUAUAUCUCUUCUAUAGUCUAAGACUGGUGAAGGAAAUCUGAAAGUCACAAGGUGUUUUUAAUACAUUCUCCUUACCCUCGAAUCUCAGUUGUGCUGCUGUGUUCCCUGCAGCCCUCUUAACAGCUGAUCAUGGGCUUUCUCUCUCCUCUAACUACAUAAAGAAUGCCUGCAUGGUUAAUUUUAUAACUGAGGGAAGGGGAAUUGUGCUCUGGUAAAAAUGCAACUCAUUGCUCCCAAAUAAUUCAACCCUCUCCCUCCACUCAUCUUGCAUAUAAAUUUGCUAAAAAUUGUAGCACUACAAUCAGGAUUGCAUACAUGCUAGACAGCUUCAGAAAUCGUAGCCAUAAAAAAUAAGCAGUAAUCAAUAAUAAUUUUUUAAAAAAAAUGCUUAACACAGUUGCAGAUAUUACAUUUUCUCAUAAAAAUAAUUUUGGAGGAGGCGACCUACAAAUUUAUCCUUUUUGUGGCUUAUGCCAAAAGUCUGCUUACUCCUGACUUGAGGAGUCAGGUGAAACUCUGAAAGGUGCUAGGGUGGGGUGGGGGGAUUAUCUGAAUAUUCAGUCAGGCUUUACAAUUUAUAUAUAACUUCUUUUUAGUAGUUCAGCUGUAUCUCAGGAGGAAGGUCGGGGUCAGGUAUAUUUUGAGAAAGCUCCUCAUGGAAUUUCCUUUUCUUCUCCCCCUAACCCAUCGUCAAGAAGAGCCUUGGUUAUGUUUUGUUACUGAAAGAGAUGUGCACCCUUUUUAGCCUUCUUGAGGACUGAUGCCUCCAGGACCUAAUAGGGUAGCUUUUUAAAGAUGGGCUUUCUGUGGCAGGUUCACUACACUGACUUGCAUGGCAAAUGUCAUUGCCUGGAGUCCAUUAGGUCCUCUCCAAUAGUGGCCAGAUGGUUAGUGAGAGCAGCUGAACCUGUCUCUUGGGUCAAGAACUACUUCUCCCUCUCUUUCACCUCUUCUGAGAAGAAAGAAACAGGGGGACAACUGGCAAGCUAUCUCCCAGAGCUAAAACUAAGUUAAGUGAUUGCAACUGUCACCCACAACAAGGCUGUCAUGCUAUUAUUGCAGGUGGAAAAUUAAUACAUGGAUGUUAUUUGUUUGGGUUCAAAGGAGACAAGCUGUUCUAACAUGCAGACCUUAAGUAAAACUCCAUGCUGGACAGAUGAAAGCUGUGAAGCAAAACAAAAUGAAAGGCUUCCCAAUCCUUAUAGGUCAACAGUGAUGGAUCAGUGGAACACACUGAGAAAAAAUGGAAACCAAUGAAUUGUUAUCAAUCAGAUAACAACCUUAUCCUUAAAUCUUUGCAACUGCUUUAAAAAUUUAUAUAUGGGAGUUAAAAAAAUAUUGAUCUUGUGGAGGUAGUGAAAAGAAUGGUGGCUCCCAAAGGCUUGGAAGAGUAGUGAGGAGGGGAGGAUAAAGAGGGGAUGGGUAAUGGGUACAAAAAUACAGUAAAGAUAGGAGAAAUAAGAUCUAGUGUUUGGUAGCUGCACUAGUCCAUUCUCACACUGCUAUAAAGAUAUUACCUGAGACUGGGUAAUUUAUAAAGGAAAGAGGUUUAAUUGACUCACAGUUCUGCGUGGCUUGGGAGGCCUCAGGAAACGUAAAAUCAUGACAGAAGGCAAAGGGGAAGCAAGGACUUCUUCAUUUGGCACCAAGAGAGAGGAGAGUGAAGUAAAGGGAAAGAGCCUUUAUAAAACCAUCAGAUAUUGUGAAAACUCACUCACUAUCAUGCGACAGCAUAGGGGAAACCGCCUCCAUGAUCCAGUCAUCUCCCUCCCUCAACACAUGGGGAUUACAAGUCCCUCCUUUGACAUGUGAGAAUUACAAUUUGAGAUGAGAUUUGAGUGGGGACACAGAGCCAAACCAUAUUAGUAGCACAAUAGGGAGAUUCUAGUUAAUAGUAAUUUAUUACAUAUUUUAAAAUAACUAGAAGGAUAAAUCUGGAAUGUUGCCAACACAAAUAAAUGAUAAAUGUUUAAGGUGAUAGAUAUCCCAGUUACCUAGAUUUGAUCAUUACACAUUGUAUGCUUGUAUCAAAGUAUCACAUGUACCCCAUAAAUAUGUAAAACUAUUAUGUAGCUAUGAAAAUAAAAACAGAUUAGAAAGUAUGUUAAAAUAAAAUAUAGGUUAACUUUAAAUUUUUUUUAUUUUAAAGUUUUAGAUUUACAUAAAAUUGCAAAGAGAGUACAAAGAGUUCCCAAAUACCCUGCACCCAGUUUUCCCUUUUUUAACAUCUUAUCUCAGUGCGGUAUAUUUGUCACAAUUAAUGAACCACUAUUAACAAAUAAUUAUCAAAAUUCAUACUAUAUUCAAAAAUAAAUAAAUAAAAACUUAGAAAUGAUGACUAACUGACCUAACUUCAUUUUUAUUUGGUUACCUGAAUAAAAAAAUUUAAAUAUGUGUGAAGCUAUUUGUUUUUCCUUGGAAUUCAUUAAAUUCUACACUUGCCGUCAUGUUAGGAAUUUAGCUGUAGAUCUUUCUGUUCCCGCUUUGUUAUUAGUGUUUUAUUUUUAUUAGUUAGCAGACUUUUAGAUAAGCAGCUAUUUUAAAUUUCAGAGGAUUUAUAGAUUGAAUCUGCAUUUUACUACUUGUGAGACAGGUUAGACAUGUACUUAUUUAUAUUUAGGGAGAAGAUGGACUUAAAUAUAUUUUUGAUCAAAAUCUCUAUCAGUUUUUAAAGAAUUUGUUUGUCUGUGGAUCUGAUCUGUCUGUAUAUCUGAUUUUACAACUUUUGGGAAAAAGGAUUGAAUUACAGAUAUGCUCAAAGACCUUGACAUUCCUCAACUUCUUUAUCACUAUUAAAAUAUUUUAGAUCAAGCCACAAUAAUAAAAAAGAAUGAAGAUUAUUACAAAUUCUGAAAAGUCUUAGUACCAUAACUUCCCAGUGCAAAUUGAUCUAUACUUGCCUUUUCUCUCUCUUCUCUCUUUGCAUUCCAACCUUGGAUCCAGGGAGAAAGGACUUCAAGUGCCUGGGCCACAGGGGAAUUAAAAGUUGCCCAUAUUAUUGUUUAUCUUUUCUUUUCUCUCUCUGGUUGUAGAUAUGAGUAGCAUUUUAAUUUAUUUCAACCAGGACUCUAGGGGUGUGUUUUAAAGUAGCCCUUCAAAAUUAAUUGAGCCCCAAAACAAAGAUCAACAAAUCCAACUCAUGGAUGAAUAAAUAGAGAACAAUAAUAUUAGAUCAAUGGAAAAGAUUUUUAACACACACACACAAACAACACUAUGAAAUGCAGAGUAGGAUCUAUCUCUUUAAUCAGAUUUAAUAUAUUACAAAGAAAUAAAUUUUAGAAAUAGCUAUUUUCUAUUAAAUAGAACAAGACAAUCAAAAGGAUUGAGAUAUGAAAAUUGAAGUAGAUCAAAUAAAACUAACAUUGAAAACAGUAAAAGGUAACAGGCUGUACAGAUUAUUUGAAGCUAAACAGAAGGUAACUAUGAGAAGUAUUCAGAACAUGAAGGAAGUAAGACAAUGUGAGCAAAGAUGAUUAGAGUAGAAGAUAAAAUAUGGAGAGUUAUUAUAUGAGUAACUAGAGUCUGAAUAAUAGUGGACAGAGAUAAACCCAAUAAUUUGUGAUAGAGAAGGAGAAAAAACAAGCGAACAACUUCUUAGAGCUGAAAAAAAAAUAAAAUUGGAUAUGUAUAGGUCUCUUUGAACUUCAUAAAAACCAAAGCAGAAAUUGACAUCAAAACAUACUGUUAAUGAAAAUUAAUCAAAGUUUGAUACCAGUUUAUCAAGACAGCUAGUUCUGCAAGGCAUAGAAAGAAAAAGAUUUUUCCUCUGUAACCUCAAUUUUUAUUCCUCAGAGGUAAGCACUUGAAACUCUUAGAAGUUUCUGAUGGUUUUGACUUCUUUAUAAAUUUCUAAAUGCGUAAGUUCAAAAUAUACUUGUACUGCUAUAUCUUGACUCUUUUUCAAUGUUUAACAUUAUCUAUUGAUAUCUCAUCAUAAAAGAUGAGGACUGAGCUAUCUAGAUUCCAUUCAAUUCACAUCUGUUUACCCUCUUUCAUUCUUAUGCUUCUUAUAAAAUUGUUAUAAUUUUGAGAUAGUUAAAUACACAAUGUUAUUGUAUUCCCAUUGUUUGUAUUAGAUCAUUUUCCUACCCUCUCUGAAAGCAGUUAGGGUCUGCUCUUUAUUCCCAGUGUUCUUAAAUUACAUAAUGACAUAAAUAAGGAUUUUUCCCUCAUUUGUUGUUUUGAGCCAUCUAUGGCUCUGUUAAAUUGGAAAAUUCUUAUCCUCAGAGUCUAUGAAAUUUUUAGUUUUCUGUCUUCUCUCUUAGGAAUUACUAUUGCUUGAAUAUUUGGUGUCACGGACUGAGUCUCAAUAUCUCUUAAGUUUUUCACUUCUAUAUUUCCUUCGUCUUUAGUUUUCUAAAAUAUUUUGUCAAUGCUACACUUCAAUUCCUUUUUAUAUUUAUUUUUGUUAUCUUUUUUUAAUUUUCAAGAGCUAUCUUUUUUGUUGUUUUUUGAAUAUUCCCUUUUAUAGUCUCCUGUUCUUGUUUCAUGCAUAUGUAGCACUAUCUCUUAUCUCAUUAAAGUGUUCGGACUUUUUUGGGGCACUUUUCUUGAAUUUCUCAGUGGCUGUGCGCUAAUAUUUGCAAAUAAGGCACUAAAAAGCUCACUAGAAGACCCAGGUACCAUUCAAUACACAAAAUUUCAUUUCACAGCCUGUUUUCUUCAUGGCACAUCUUCUCUAAACUGUUUUGUGUCUGCAAGUCUGGAAUAUCUUUGCUUUGUUCUCUUCAAAAAGUAAACACUCAGAUUUGUACAGGGUGAGAGAUGGGCAAAGCCAUUUACCUGACUUAGGAAAGAAAUGGGGAGUUUCAGUUUUAAAUACAUUUUCUAUCAAUAUACCUGUUUCCAGCCCCAGAGGUCUUCUUUUCAAGGAAACUGGCACCUCCAUUCUUGAACUUUUCUGAUGGGUUCUGUGAUUUGAAUUGUUUGUUCUCCUUUGUUCUAUCUCUCUGUUCUGAUCUAGGCAUCAGCUUCCUCUGCUCUGCUAAAUUAAAUACUUAAAAUCUCUCUGCUUUACUGGCCCCCCAAUUUUGUUCUCCCAUUCCCAUUAUGUGGGGAUAUGACCAUAUCUCAACCACUUAUUUUUCUUUUUUAUUGUCAUUUUGUAGGAUAUUGGGGAAAAUGGUGGUAGACAAAUAAACAAAUAAUUCAGUUCAUCUUAUUUAACGGGAAGUUUAGAUGUUUUAACUAAAACAAACAAAAGUUUACAGUUAUUGGUCUAAAGAGAACAAGAAAAAAAUACAAAUUACUUUUAUUGGAUUAUGAAAUCAGGCUAGCUUUGAAUUUCUCUUCUGCAAUUACAAAUUGCUUUGGUUCUUUGUUGUUUUAAGGCCUCUCUAAUCUAGUUAUAUUUUCUUCUAAAUUUCUUGAUUAAAUGGAAUCUUGGGUCAAGCCCUUCAUUUCCAGUUAGGCCGCAUUUAUGGGUUACUAAGGAAGGCUCUCUGCCACAAAAUAACUUCACAGAAUCUGACAUUUUGUUAUUUAAUAAUAGAAUAUACACUUUGUGUCGAGAAGGCUUUUAAAAUUUCAUAAAUCCUUACUAAAAUGUAAAUGUCUAUGGAUGGGAUAACCUCCUAAGCUAUUAGCAAUUAUUAGGGUCAAGAAAGUCCAGAGCCAGAGGGAAGCGCAGCUGAUCACAUAUACUAACCUUUUUGCAUUCUCUAAUUUUUUGUUUUUGGCUUUUAUGUUAAUUCAGUCAUUUAGUUAAUGGUGAUGUUUGACUUUGGCUAAUGCCUUUUGCCUUGGUUAUUCCAAAAUUCGGCUUCUGAUAUGGGUUUUUCUUUUUGUGGCUUUUUUUUUUUUUUUUUUUUUUUUCUGAUUUCUUGCUCUCCACUUGGUCUUUACACUACUUGGGCAUUUUGGAAGUUUUGACUGAUUGGAAGGCUAUUUUAGAGACUUAAUUGUUCAUGUUUCCCUUUUAACCAGCAGUUACGGGUGAGUGAGUUGCCUUACUAGAUCAUGGAUGAUUGCUUCGCCUUUUCUAUCUAUAUUCUAUUCCCAAAUCAAUCUUUUCACUGAUGAGUCACAUUAAUUAGCUAAUACUGAGUGUCUGUAGAACAGUACUCUGAUUUCUCUUUAGCCUACUCAUUCCCAAAUAAAUAUCAUAUUAAAAGUCAGUAUUACAGAAAUGGAAUGAGGAAAGGCCAGCUUAAAAUAACCAAUGUAACAAAGUGUUAAUUUAAAAUAUUAUGCCUAUAAUUUUGCAUACAUUCUCAGUCCAUUAUAAAAUUGUUUCAAAUUAUAAAAUUCUGUGUCUAAGAAGGCAUAGUCCCUGAGAUUAGUUGCUUUAGUUUAUAAGGAUACAGAGAUUCUCUAAAGCCUAUUUUUAUAUUACAUAUUCACAGGUAUCAACAGUUAUUUCUUUUUUUCUUGGCAGUCAUUUCUAUGUUCUCUUUGGAAAAAAGGCAAACUGCUGUGUUCUAGUCAUUUAAUUGAAAAUCCCACCGCAAUGAUCUUUACAUCUAAUACAACUUCCCAGUGGCUUUCAUAUAGAAAUAGUUUUCAAGUAAAACAUACUUUUCUACCAUUCCAAAAAGAGAAGGAAUGCAGUUAAAAAAUGAAGGCCAUUAGUUUACCAACAGCUACGACCAUGCUCUUAGAAUUUUAAAACUGCACAAUCAUCCAUAUAAAAUAAAUUUAUUUUUAUAAUAAUUUUUCCCUUCAUUCCAACCAACUAUUGUUAGCUGUGACUUAUUUACCUUGUUGAAACUUUAACAAUCUUUAUGAAGGCUGCCUUAUGUCUACUGUCAUUUUUCUGUGCAGGAUUGUACAACUUAAUCAGAAUUCAUUUUAUCUCCUUUUCAAUACAAUGCACAAUUUUAUAAACUUGUUAAGUGGGGGAUUCUGCUUUUUUCCUUUAACAUAGAAAUGUGUCAUAUGUGUCAUUUCCUGAGGAUGGUCCAGUGGUCUAGUGUGUGUGUAUGUGUGUGCGUGUGUGUGUGUGCAUGUUUGUGUUUUAAUAAAUUGGAAGCAAGAACAUUUGAUGUUCAUAAAGUUACACUUACUUAUUAGAGAAAACAAAAAGACAGCUUUACAUCAUAACAUGUCUUUAAUAAUCAGGUUUAUAUGCCUCAAAGGCUAAGAAAAAAUAUGAUGAAAUGACAUAUCAUGUAAAUCUAUCAAUUAGGAUGUUAACACUUUCUAUGUCUGUAAUAUAAAUGAGAGCCACUAGAUUACCAAUCUGCAUGUUAAAUAAAUGCAGCACUAAGCAUAAGUAGGUAAUAAUGCAUCCUACAAUAAAAUUCCAAUCAUAUAUAGCAAAUGAACAGGUCUGUUAAUUUUCUAUGCCCAAAUUCCUCAUUCUUCUCCUCUUCAAAUGUACCUUUUGUUUUUUUCAAGUCUAAGAAAGGUCAAAUGUAAAAGAGAGAGCUAGUCUCAACUGUAACCUCCAAGAUACUAGUAGUCAUGGCUCUUCUCUCUCUCUCUCUCUCGCUCUCUCUCUCUCUUUUUUUGGUAUAGCACUAAUCAGAAUCACCUACCUAUUCAAUUUACCAACUACAUCAGAAGCUUACUUUGAGAACUCAGCCACCUUUUCUACAUUUUUGAGGCCCCAAGCAAGGAUCAUUAGGAGUUCAUGAAGUGUUCUUUAUCUGGAAGAUACACAAUGUGUGUUGCUUAACUAAUUAAAAAUGGAAUUAUGAUAGAAAUAGCACUUCAAUUUAUUGAUCUGUUCAUGAACAUUGAUCUAAAAUAUUUCUCAGAGGAGCCUAUUGAUUUAAUUACUUCAGUUAUGCCUUAAUACAGUUAAAAGAGUUAACUUUUUAGUGUAAUGUAAUUUUCACAUUAAUAUGUAUAAUUAAUAACUUUUGUUCCACCUUAUGAAGCAUAUUAAUGUAACCUGUGAGACUCUCAUCUACAUAAAAUUUUAUAUGUAUAUAUGCACAUUGAAGACGUAUUUAUUUAUACAGGUGAACAUAAAUAUAUCAUUAGCCAAGAGAAUAUCUAAAUUUCACAGUGGCAAAUAACCUAAAUUCUCAGAGCUGCAGUCUUCUUCUCUCUAAUAUGGAACUAAUAUCUCCCUUGCCUACUGCAAGAAUUUGGUAAUUUUUAACAGAGAUACUGUAUAUAAGAACAGUCUAAGAAAUGGUAAAUGAAAAGGUCCCAAUAACAGUCCCAUUAGAUGUAUAAAAAUAAGUGAUUUUUAUACAAGCAAUGUGCUGGGCUCAAUACACAUUUUAACACAGAGAUAUUAAUAUAAUAAAAGACAAGUAGACAUAUCUAUAUUUCCUGUGACCUGGUAGAUCACAUUUCUUUUGAGUUGAAAGGUCUUGGCUAAAAAUUUCAAAUGUUAGUUACUGUGGUUUAAGUCAAAGAUAAAUUUAAGAUAUACCUAAUUAAAUUCUAUAUUGAAUAGCACUAUUGUAAGAUUUUAGUAUACAUGUGUGCAUAUGUGUAUAAAAUAUUACAUAAUAUCUAUAAUAUUUAUAUUCUUAAUGUAAGUGAAAUAAACCUAAUAUAAAUUAAUAAAGUAUAACAAUAUGUUUUGAAAUAAGCAAAUAAAAAAUAAAUGUUGAUUUUUUUCAAUGACAUAAUCUUUGUAAUUAACUACCUUAUAGGAUAUAGCCUAGGAAGAGAUGUAUUCUAUAUCCCUGUAAAAAAAUCUUGCCGAACAUUAAAGAAAUACUCAAUAUUUUUAUUUGUAAAAAUUUUGGACUGAAUAGUAAGCAAUAUCCAGAAAACUUUUCAAUAGAUUCACUAAAUUGUUGAGUAAGUGAGAAAAUAGACUGAGAAGUUUAAUAGUUAUAAAUUACUUUUUUGAUAUUAAGCUUGGUUGCAUUUCAAAAUCUUUUCUUCAUUUUGUGCCCAAAGUUCAAUUAACUAAUACUUCUACAUCUUGACAGCUAGGUCAUUGAGGAGGUUAAUCAAGUGUUUGGAUUUUAUUUGUUAUCAGGGUAUACCUACUCAUCUUCAUAUUGUAAGUACUUAGUUACCUCAGAUGGUUUUAAAUCUGAGAGGUUGAUUCAGGUCUUAAAUAGGAAUGCAUAGAGGAAGCUCUGUUUCAACAUCUCCUGGUCCAGCACUGUCAGGCGGGCUCUGCUUUUGGUGUUCUACCAGCAGAUGAAAUCUUGUUCUUGAAUUCCAGCCUCUUUUGGGCUAAUUUCUGUUCUUCUGCUCUCUUCUCUCACCGCCAGCCUCUGGAACUCAGAUGCCCUGGGCUUAUAAGUUUGCUUUGGGUCAUUGACUAAACUGAGGAGUCUCUUUGAUGUGGCCGCAUCUGCCCAUCUGGACCCAGUCAGGCUGCCUGCCAAUUUAGGCCUUUGUUAACUCAUCCCCUUACUUGGAUCUCCACUAAUUACCGCCUCAUCCUGCUCAAAUUGGCAUCCCAGAUGCUGGCCUUUUCUUCAACCUUGCUUUGUGAUACUGCUAUCCUGCAUGUCUUUUCCUUUGUGACUCAUCUCUAGGUAUCAUACUCUUCUUGGUAUUACAAAGUAUUUUAGUUAGAUAUCAUGAAAUCUUUGCUUGAAUACCUUCAGUGAUCAGAAGCACCACAUCUACCAAGGAACUCAAUUCCAUUUUCAUUAUAACACUUAUUAUUAGAAAAUCCUGUCUUAUUUUAAGUCAAAAUCAGCUUCUCUACAGUUUGUUUCCCUAGUUUGACCUCACCAACAACGAGCAUAGUACUUGUACACUGUAGACAAUAAAUGGUAGUAAAUGGUAGUGGCUAUUAUUUAUAACUCAAAGUUUUCAACUGAAAGAUUUUUCUCCUCAUUAAAAAUAAUAUAGUUGAAAUAAAAAAUUAUGUCUCUAACUUUAAUGGAACUCACUUAUGCUCUGAAGUUAGAGAUAUUUCUGAAUUUCUUCCUUCAAAGUUUAUUUGGCACUUUUUUAUUCAGAAAGUAAUUAUUUCAGAUAAACGUACUACUUUCUAUUUUUUUCUGUUAAAAUGUUCAUUAUUCUCUCUACUCUCUAAUCUUUAUUAAAAUAAAACCUAAAUUCAUAUAAUCCUAAUUUCCUGCAUGUUUUUAAAUAUUUGUUGUCCUGAAGUUUAUUGAGGCUUAACAUUCAAUAUCACAAUCUAAUUUUUCUGUAUUUUUCACACAUACUUAAACUUGAUUCAUCAUUAAUAUUAAAUAUUUAAAUAUUUCAACAGGUAGAUAUGUUUAAAUACAGUUUCUUCCUCUUUUCCUCUCUGAGUUUUAAGAAAUCAGAUUUUGUGUUUUUCAAAUCCUUAGUUUAUUCCUAAUUUCAUUUUCUAAGAUUAUUAUUCUGGGUUUUCCUGAACAAAAUAGCUAAAUUUUAUUAGGAUUUAAUGUUUCUAUUGUGAUAAAUUACUGGGAAAGUUGGAUUUAUGUUACUGUUCAUACCAUGCCGUAUUUAAUUAGUUUAUACUUUAUGUUAAUUGUUUAGGUUCUGAGUUGACUUACUGUAUAAUAUCUAUCUCCUAAAAAGUACCUAUCCUAUAUUUUAAAUGUGUUUUAUGAUUCUAGACUAACAUUAAGAAGCUCAUUCAUGGAAGAAAACCUUGUUUAUUUAUUUAUAUCUUAGAAUGAAUCUUAAAGUUAUUUUUAAAAUUAAAAAAUUUUAAUGUAGCAGAAGUAAAUUAGUGGCUUAGAUGAGUCUUGCAUGGUGCAAAACUAAAAGGAGAUUGGACAGUUUGCUUACUAUGGAAAUAAAUGAAGAAGAUGAUUUAGGAAUAAAUAUUUGACUUCUUAUUCAUUCAGAAUGCAUCAAUUAUUUUAAUUGAUUAGCCAUGUCUGAAUGUAAAUAUGCUGAAACAAUUAAUUCUUAAUAUUUAGUCUAUUUUAAUUUUUAUGUAUUUUUGUUUUUAGAAACAAUCCUUGUCCCCUAAUUUAAAUUUGACAUAAUUUGAAAAGUCUAGACUUAGUGUUCCAAGGCAUAGGUACCUUGACACAUUAUCAUUAGUAGUCUUCACAGCCACACUUUGAGCUAAUGAGGCAUUAUUGUCCUCAUUCUAAUUAUAAAGAAGCUGAGGGUUAGAAAAUAUAACUUGCUAAAAGUUAGUUAGUAAAUGGUAGUCUCAAUAUUUACAUAGGCUAUGUAUAACUUCCUGUUUGUCCUUUCUCUUAAUUUCACCCUUUCAAACUGUAGCCACUCACUCUUAUACCCUUGACAUUGGCAAAAACUGCAGUUCUCCAUAAUCUCCAUUUCAAUCACUUAUCCUCUGACCAAUUCCCUCUAGAGCUAUACUCUAAGAAUCCUUUGAUCCCACUAGAACCAUUAAUCUAUUGGUCCUACCUUUUUUGUUCCAUCUUUCAUUGUCUUUAUGUGUUUUCUUGCUUUUUAAGCCAGCUUAAAAUUUAUGGGUAAUCAUAAUCAUGCAUGCAAAAACCCUCAACUCCUUUGCCCUCUCCAAUGUAUCACAUUCAUUUGGCAAAAUUCCAAUCCAGUUUAAAUUCAGUUCUUUGUCACUCUGAGCCUACAUCUUUACAGCUGAAUGUUACUUGAGAAAGACAGUGAAACAAACUAUUCUCCCUUUAAAUACUAAAUGAUCCCUGGUAAUUGUACUCUAUGUUCCUAGUCCAUUCCCUUUCUUAAUUUGCUAGACAAUUUUUAAUCCUUUCUUCUCUUUCCUCAACUUUUCUACAUCUUCGAUUUCAGCAGAUGACCUUGAAUCAUGCUUCAUCUAAAAAUUGAAGCCUUCAUAGGAGAACUUCUACAAAUUCCUAUCACUAUAUCUGUUUGUGCACAUAUUCCACACAGUAACUAAAUAGUAAUAAAAUAGUAAUAGUAAUAAAAUAGUAAUAAAUAAUAUUCAGUUACUAUGAGUGAAUCCUAAGUAAGGCCAAAUCCUUUAUGUCUACCCUGGGUUCCAUGUGCUAUUAUCUACUAAAGAACAUUUCCAGAAAUUCUCUCCUCUGUCUCCAGCAUCAGCAUCUUCUUCUCUGUUGAUUAUUGCAUUGCCCUAUACUGUUGCAAUUUCUCCCAUCUUAAUCCCAUUUUCCCUCCAGCAACUGACUCAUUCCCAUCCUCUUGACAUUGAAACUACUUGAAAGAGUCCUCUAUUCCUGCCAUCCUCAGUUUCUUUCUUUUUGCUCUUUCUUGCACACCUUCAAAUUAGGUUUUUACUCUAUUCAAUGAAACUGCUCUUGAGAAGGUCACCAGUGACCACCACGCUGUUAAAUCCAGUGGCCAUUCCUUAGCAUUUGACCACACUGAUCACUCGUCCCUUAAAACCAUUUGAUACUUGGCAUGUAAACAUAUUCACCUAGUUCUCCUUCUUACCUUGCUAGCUACUCUAGCUACUCUUUUUCUCGGUCUCUUUGUUGGUUCCUUUUCAUCUCCACCAUCUUUAAGGAUCAGAGUGCCAUAGGGCAGAGUUUAGAACUUGGAUUUCUCUUGUUGUUCUCUCAUUAUCUAUGAACUAACACUCUCUGGGGAUGAGUUAAAUACCAUCUUAAUACUAAUAACUUUCCUCUGAAUUCCAUACCAACAUAUCUAACUGCCUACUUCAUAUGUCCAGUAGGAGGUUUAAUGAUAAGCACUUCAAAAUUAAUAUGUUAAAACCUGAGCACUACCUGACUUCCCACCAAUAUUCUUUCCUCUGUUCUCAUUUCAGUAAUGACAAUUCUGAUUUCUGGUUGCUGGAGUCAAAAAGCUUAGCAUGGUUUUUGGCUCCUUCCUUUCUGUCACAUUCAGUAGCAAAUCCUGUUGUCUGUACCUUCAAAACAUAUUCUGAAUUCAACCACUUCUCACCACUCCUAGUGCCAGUUCAACCAUCUUCUCAUCUGGAUUAUUGCCACAGUCUCCUAAUCGGCCUCUGUGCCUCUGUCCACACCCAUUCUUAAUUAGUAUACAGACAGAUCCUAAAAUAUGUCAGAUUAUGUCAUUCCUUUUCUUAGAAUGAAAGCUUGCAAAGUCCCAAGAAAUGUAGCAUCCAUUACCUGCCCGAGAUCCUUUUCUCAUCUUUUUUUCUUUGUUCCCUCUUUCCACCCACUUUGGCUUUGUCACUCUCCCUGAAACACUGUAAAGAAGCUGCGUUCUCACUCAGGGUAUCAGCAUUUGGUGUUCCUCCUGCCCAACAAUCUCUUCCACAGAAGUCCUCAGGAAUAACUCCCUCACCUUCUUCAGGUCUUUUGUUAAAUAUACCUUCUCAUGUGAUUCAACUUUUCCUUUAUCUUAUACUUCAUAUCCUUGUUGCCUGCUUUACUUAUGUUUCUUUGUCAUGCUAUUAUCUAAUUCAUCUUUUUAAGUGUCCACUUCUAUUACUUGAAUGUAAGCUUCAUGGCUAUAGGAAGUGUCUUGUAUGUGUGUGUGUGUGUGUGUGUGUGUGUGUGUGUUUAUGUCUAUGUGUGGUUUUAUAUAUAUGCAUAUUGUUAUUGAUUUUAGUAGUAUUAUUAUUGUUGAAUCUAGGAUAGUUCCUGGCACAUAGUAGGUGCUCAAUAAAUAUUUGCUCAAUAAAUGAAUACAUAGAUGAGGCAGAAUUCAAACUUGGCAUCAGCUUGUUCCGAAAAUGUACGUAAUUUCCAUUGUUUAAAUUUGAAUCAGCAAUCAACUAAUUAAAUACAUUGAGCUCUGUGCUAGGCCCUAAAAGGCAAGCAGUUACGGAGUUUUUGUUUUUGUUGUAGAGCACAUAAAGCCAAGAGUGAACAACAGAACUUGGCAUACAAUUACUUGCCAGUGGUGUGGUACUGAUUACAAGUCCUGCAAAAGAGAAAUGAACAAGACACAAAGGAACUCAUUCUAGUUUCAGAAAAGGUAGCAUGAUUAAGUUGAUUUAAAGUGACAUUUAGCCAGGUUAUGAGAACAAAGCAUCAGAUGGGAAGGACACUGCAGUCUUGAGUGACUAGAAUGAAUUAGAGGUGAAAUUGGGAAAUAAGUUUUAAUAUGGCAGGUGGUAUUCCAAGAAAAAUACAUGAGAGUUGAGACUUUAGGGUGUGGUAAUUUGAAAGCUAGAGUGUAACCUGUUAGGUAACAGGGGUACCUUAAUGGCGCUGGUUCCGGGUUCUUCUCCCCUCCUUGACCUGGCACUGUGUGAACCCGCCAAAGGAGGGCCAAUCAGAAAGAAGCAUCUCCCGCCUUCCCUUGGGCCCACCCCAUGUAGGCCCAAGGGAUAUAAAACCCAGCACUCCAGCAGCUCUCUCUCUUCUCUCUCUCUUCCCUUCUCUUCUCUUCUCUUCUCUUCUCCUCUCUUCUCUUCUCUCUCUCUUCUCUUCUUUUCUCUCUUUCCUCUUCUCUUCUCUCUCUCCCCCGCACGACCUGACCUCUACCUCUCCAAUAAAGAUCUCUUGGCUGCCACCGGUGUCGUCUCUGACUAGUCUGUCACCCUUCAUAACCUUAGGCCCAAAUGCUUACUAUAUAAUCAGGCUUCCUGAUUAUUUAUAUUUGUGGAACCAAAAUACUUUGAUUUUAUAGAAGUUACACAUACACCACAAUUCUCUUCUAAAAGGAGUACAUUGCUCAUAAACCUUUAUUCCAUACCCUUGUAUUGUUAACGGGCUUUGCUUAUGCCUUGUUUUUCACCUAAACACAAAUGCUAUACGAUUUCCUUUUUUUUCUUUCUUUUCAUUUGUAUUUAUUUAUUUAUUUAUUUUCAAGACAGGGUCUUGCUCUGUCAUCCAGGCUGGAGUGCAGUGGCGUGAUCUUGGCUCACUGCAGCCUUUACUUCCUGGGCUUAAGCUAUCCUCCCACCUCAGCCUCUGGAGUAGCUGGGACUACAGGCAUGCACCACCAUGCUGGACUUUUUAUUUUUUGUAUUGACGGCAGUUCACCAUGUUGCCCAUGAGCUCAAGCCAUCCACCCACCUCGGCCACCCAAAGUCUGGGAUUACAGGUGUGAGCCACCAUGCCUGGCCAGCGGUAUUUUUACGUAUCAAUGCUUCUAAUAUGGUACCUUCUGUAUAGUCCCUGGAUUUAUUUUGGACUUCUUUCUUCUCAUUACCAAAAUACAACAUUAACGUUUACAUUGUAAGGAAAAGAAAGACUAAUGACAAAACCUUCUCUGAGAUGUUUACAAAAGUGUCAGUAGCUCUGAAAGUAUUAAUCUUUUAAAUGUUAUGGAAAAAUAGAUUUUCCUGGAUUUACUUAAGGGACCACUUUAUUUUCUAGCAAAAAGAUAACUUUUCUUUCUUAAUGUUACUUUCUUAGUUUCCCAUAUGAAUAAACUACAGAUAACUACUCACUACCUAUGGUCUACUUAUUUUCUUUUGCACCUCACAGGAAGAUGGAGAAACCAGAACACUGAUGGCAAUCAUCCCACACAAAAGGGGACUGAUUGAGGGUAAUUACAGUAAUGACACAGUAUUUAUCAAAUUUUGGAAAUGUAUGACUAAAAUGAGAAUUUAUAUCCAUGAGGCUAGUUACAGUGCAAACUAGAUGCUCUGAGAGGCCAGCUCACAUGGUUUCCAAAUCUCACUAACUGCUGCCAACUUAUAUAAUCAAUAUCAAAAUUGUAUCAUGUUUCAGAUUCAAGGUUUGAAAAAGAAAAAGAAAAAUGACAGAUUGAAGAUUUGAUCAAUAGAAAGUACCCAAAUAAAUAAACACAUGGUAGAGAGAGCAAAGCAUUUGGACAGUCUUGCCAAAUGUACUGCAUUUGAUUUUAGGAUAAUGGAUAAGUUGGAUGGAAUCAAUGAAAAUAUUGAAUUGCAUCCUGGGGAAUGAACAGUACCGAAAAGAGAGGGUUUGGCUGAAGAUAAAAUUGAAAUGGAAGCACCCAAUAUAAAUACCUUUUAAAAUGAUACAGGUUAUCAAGAAGUCACUACGUCAAAACUGAAAGCUUAGGAUAAUGAUUAGAAAUGAGUCUCUCUGUAGACAUUUGUGGCUGGCAAUCUUUCCUGCAAGAACUCUCAGCCAAAAUGCCACUUGUCAUUUGCUGAAGCUCCUACCUUACUUCCUCUAUUUUACUUUGAAUUAUCUAAGCCACUGAAAGAAGCAUAAAUGUAUUGUAUUUUUAGGCAACAGCUAUAAAGUUUAUGCUAACAACAACAAUAAUAUAGUAAUAAAGUUGAAUAUAAAUGCAUAAUAAGCAUUGAUGUUCUAGCACCAUGUUGAUUUUCUUUAUUUCUCUAUUUUUCUAACCAGAAUGAAGAUCUCUGAUCUUCUCAAAUUAUUGCAACCAUAAGUGUUGCUUUCCCUGGCUUAGUGCUUGCCCCUUCCCAAAUCAAUUAUCUCCAGAGUGAUCUUUUACUCUCAGUUUGUAACACCCAUCACUAGCUUUCCAUUACCCUUAGAAUGAAGUGCAAACUCUUUUAAGUCUUUUCUCACUUGGCCUAAGAUGAUCUCUUACCCCUCAUCUCCUGCACCCAAACGUCCACAUCACACAUUCACACUCUAGUUCCUUUCGUAAUAAAUUUCCUUCAGUUUCUUGAAUGUUUCAUACUCUCCUACUAGUUUUUCAGGGGGAGCCAAGGCAUGACUUCUCCAUGAAUCCUUAGAAGGCCACCCUGAACUACUAUGUGCGUGUAUGGUGAUAACAUCAUAUUCUUCCUCUAUCAGUUCACUUGUCACAUCAUUGAAUAAUAAUCACUUGUUUAAUUAAUUUCUUUCCUGCCUUCUAGACUGGAGUGCUUAACAAUUUCUGGUAUCCUUAACCUAUUAAACAUUCUGGUGAAGUCUGUAGUUCUUUUCUCAGAACUACACUUUUAAAUGUAUAAAAUAAAUUACACAGACAACGAAAGUAACCAGUUAUACUGAAAUUCAAUUUCAAAGUGUUAAAACUAAAUUUGUGAUAUGAUAAGAUAUCUGAUUCUUUAUUAAUGCAUUAAAUAACAAAACCUAAUGGUGUGUCAAUAACAGUUGCAAAAUCAUUAUGAGCAAAAAUGGUCUUCUCAGAUGUCUGCAACACUGGAAUGUGAUAUGUAAUUAUCUGUGAUUUUUAAUGUUUCACAAAGUCACAGGUACUGCUAAUACCUUGGUGGUUUAUGGCCUAUAUUCAUAAUUUAAUUUAAUGCUAAAUUUGAGUUACAGGUUAAGAGAACUAAAGGUGUAAUUAAGAUGUAAUUUUUUUUCCUAUAUAGAAGUUUACAAUUCUCCGUCUCCAAGAUUAAAACCCCUGGACUAGAAUGUCAGCUCCGUAAGGACAGGUCCCAGAUCUGUCUUAUCAUUGAAUCCCUAUUUAUUACUAUAUAGACUUAUAACCAUAACCACAACCAUAACUCUCUCUCUCUCUCUCUAUAUAUAUAUAUGUGUAUGUAUCUUAUGAGAUAUAUACAUAUAUAUCACAGAGAGAGAGAUAUGUGUGUGUAUAUACAUAUACACACACACACACACACACCCCACACAUACAUAUAUAUGUAUGUAUAUACACCAGUUCCUGUUCUAUUUGCUGGAGACAGAGCUGUGAAUAACAAGCCCAAAACCCUGUAUCACAGGGUUUUCAUUGCAUUGGAAAAGGAAAGCAGUCUCUAGCAUAUGAUAGACUGUUUAUAAACAUGAAUGUUCCUGUUUUUGCUUUGUCUUCUUCUAAGAUCAAUAAGUGCCCACAAACACUGAAUAUGAUAGUUUUUAAUCAGCCAUUGGAAUUUGCAAUUAAUUGGUGGACAAAGAGACCAUUUAAGAAAUUGAGUGAUUGUCAUUACCCUUAAAAUAGACAUUAUCAUAACUGCCAACUAGAUUUAUGGCUCCUUGAUAUGCAUAAUUAUAAUUCUUACAUCUCUUUGUGUUUGCUCAUGCAAUUCUUCCUUCCGUGAGUGCCUACUACUCCUGAUUAAAUACUAACUCUUCAAGAUUAAAAUAUCACUUACUCUGUGAAGAGUUCUCUCCAUUCUUCCCCACACUGCUUCACCAUUUUGGUUAGGAAUCCUCCAAACAUCCUUUGAUCUUCAAAUAGCAUGUUUGGCAUAUCUCUAUUUUUGGAUAGUUGGCAAGAGUGACAUUCUCUGCCUGUGUAUUGAUAUCCCCACUUUCCUUCCCCUAAACUCUACGUCUACCAGAUAUUCCAUGACCCUGUGUCUGGUAGAGCUAAAGGUCUCCAAAAAAGCAGAGACUUUGUUGCACCUGCUGAAUCACUGCUUCCAAAUUCCUGUGGGAAGAACAGCUUCACGGGAGGCUUUCAAAUCUGUGAAUAUCCAUUGCCUUAUUAAGAAUGUUUAAAGAUCCAUUUUAAGAGAGGCAGUAGAGUCCUGCAUUGUGGAGCUCUCAGAGCCCUUUAAAAAGUGACAUUAUAUGCAUUUUUAAUGGUCCCUGCUGUGGGAUUCUAUGGGUCUAUUCUCUGAUGGGGCAGAAGACAGACCCAGCAGGAACCCUAGAUAUGAUAAUCUUAGUGCUUGACCUGUAUUGUCCCUUUGCCUCUAUUUACCCCUGGGGAAGUGGUAGAAUAGGGUCUGUGUAGUAUCUCUCUCGCUGUCCACAGUUUUUAAACCCGAGGGAAAUGGUGCAGACUUAUGGAUGCGCUCAAGAGACUUUUUGGACCUCACUCCAUCGGCCUUGUCUAACCUAGGGCCCUCAGGGAGUGGUAGCUCCAUCUUAUUUACAUCUUUAGGAGUCAGCAUAGUGCUCAGCAUUUGGUCGUUCUCUAUAAAUCUUUCUUGAACUGACUCAAAGUAUUUUAAAUGAAAUUAUGAGAUUUAUUAGCCUGCUGGCACAAGAACUUGUUUACACUGUGCACUUUUCCUUAAAUAAGAGAAUAUAGGGAAAGUUUGAGAAUCUGAAAUGACUUUGAGUGUAUUGUUGAACAUCUCAAUAAUUCAAUUUCUGAGUAUACAGUAGGGAUCAUAUGCAGCCUAUCUUUGUAUGUUGGACAAACUCUGGUUGGCAAACUGGCAUAGAUCAGACCAAGUGCCCAGAUGCAAUAUUAAAUAUUCAUUUAGGAUCUAUCUCCUGCUCUAAACUAUAAGCCAGUUGAAGGCAGUGUCUUAAAUUUAUUAAAUUAUUUUUAUUGAACUGAACAACUUAGAUAAGGGUUUUAAUUAGAAAUUAAAAUUAAACUGAUAGUUUUAAAAAUAAUGAUAUGUAUAACUGCCAUUCCUUUUAUUGAUAUUUAUUGGAAGAAAUAAGCAAAUUAUCUUCAGGUAUGUUAAAAGUAUGUGUUGCUAAUUUUGAAAAUUUACUUCUCUAAUAUAAAGGUAAUGCAUGCAAAAUUUUGGGUGGUAUAUGGAACGUGUAUCAAAGUUAUGACUAAAAAGUUGUGUUCAUUUUCCACAUGAAAAAGUACCUAAUUUAUUCUUGAAGAAAUGGUGCUUCUUAUAAUACAAAUACACAAAAAUUUUAAUUAUAAGGUGUGAGGAUUUUGUGUUCACUGUUACUGUCAAAAGUGCCUCUCUCACUGGAACUCUCUUAUACAAUGCUUUUAGGCAAAAUAAAUUUCAAAUUUGACUAUGACCACCCCUUUUGCAAGUGACUUUUUAUAUCUGAAUAUUCUUAAACUAUUUUAACAUAAUUUAAGUUCUAGCUCUUGAUGUUGGUUUAUUUCUUGUACUUUCUGUAUAUUUCAUCAUAUUCCACAAAUUGGUGUUUACUUUUAUCUUACAAACUUAAUAGUCAUUAUGAAGUUCAGUAUUAUUUUAUUCCUGCUUUUCCUAUGAAAAGAAACAAGUAUAGUUUUAUGCUUUGGCAUUCUUGAAAUUUUUUUCUAAUAUCUUUGACGUGGCAUUUAUAAAACAUAUUUUAAAAGAAUUCAGCUACCUAAGGGUAAGUGAUAUUGCUGCUUCCAUUUUCAUUUGAGUCAACAUUAGAUCAGUUCCAUGAGAAUAAACUGUCUUACAUGAAAUUCCCUGAGAAUGUCCCCAGCCCUUCUACAUCUCCUAUUUGUCAUCCUGGAAUAAAUCGUCUUACUAAGCUUUAAUGCUAUAGAGCAUUCAUGACAUUGCCCCCGUGUAAUUCACUUUAGUAUUACAUUUCUAAUGUUAACUUCAAAUAGACAUUCAUAUUCAUAUUGCUGUAGUGCUUUGGACACUCAGGUGCCUUAUUUUUCUCUAUCCUAUGAUGACAAGUUCUCUAUAAGUUGAGCUAGGUCAUUCCUUUUGAACAGUUGAAAGAAUUGCUGAGUGGCUAAUAUUACCAGGUCCAAGUUUUUGUGCAGAUACAUGUUCUAUGUAGUUGAGAAGACUGAACAGGACUAGAACUUGGCACUCCAUGGCACAUUUAGAAAUUGGUAAGAGAAACAAUCACUAAGAAUUGAGGACUGAAAUGGGAGCACUCUUCAUUAAUGAUGAAUAUGGAAGCCCCACAUGUAUAACGCAUCUGUAAUAUUUUUCAACUUAAAAAAUUAAUUAGAAAAACAUUUACAACUGUAUAGAAGAACAUUAUGUAUUAAAUGCACAAUCAUUGUUUUUUGUUGAGACCAACCAACAAAAUACACUUUGUUUGGACAUAUUAGUAUUGAUAUAAAUAUAAAUGCAUAUCACAAUUAUUUCUCUUUACCACUGUGGACAGACAAUAUCUUUACUUUGGUGAUUGUCUU